rnacentral:rRNA from 1 species
GAUGAACGCUGGCGGCGUGCCUAAUACAUGCAAGUCGAGCGAACAGACGAGGAGCUUGCUCCUCUGACGUUAGCGGCGGACGGGUGAGUAACACGUGGAUAACCUACCUAUAAGACUGGGAUAACUUCGGGAAACCGGAGCUAAUACCGGAUAAUAUAUUGAACCGCAUGGUUCAAUAGUGAAAGACGGUUUUGCUGUCACUUAUAGUUGGAUCCGCGCCGCAUUAGCUAGUUGGUAAGGUAACGGUUUACCAAGGCAACGAUGCGUAGCCGACCUGAAAGGGUGAUCGGCCACACGGGAACGGAGACACGGUCCAGACUCCUACGGGAGGCAGCAGUAGGGAUUCUUCCGCAAUGGGCGAAGGCUUGACGGAGCAACGCCGCGUGAUUGAUGAAGGUCUUCGGAUCGUAAAACUCUGUUAUUAGGGAAGACCAAAUGUGUAAGUAACUAUGCACGUCUUGACGGUACCUAAUCAGAAAGCCACGGCUAACUACGUG